AAAUUGAAGAGUUUGAUCAUGGCUCAGAUUGAACGCUGGCGGCAGGCCUAACACAUGCAAGUCGAGCGGCAGCGGGAAAGUAGCUUGCUACUUUUGCCGGCGAGCGGCGGACGGGUGAGUAAUGCCUGGGAAAUUGCCCAGUCGAGGGGGAUAACAGUUGGAAACGACUGCUAAUACCGCAUACGCCCUACGGGGGAAAGCAGGGGACCUUCGGGCCUUGCGCGAUUGGAUAUGCCCAGGUGGGAUUAGCUAGUUGGUGAGGUAAUGGCUCACCAAGGCGACGAUCC
rnacentral:rRNA from 1 species